ACUCGGAUGGAUAUAAUACAACCUGCUAAGUGUCCUAGCACUUAUCAGGUUGUAUUAUCAUUGUCCGUGGC
rnacentral:pre_miRNA from 12 species